rnacentral:rRNA from 1 species
UGUGUAGGCGGACUAAUAAGUCAGUGGUGAAAUCUCUCGGCUCAACCGGGAAACUGCCAUUGAUACUGUUAGUCUUGAGUUCGGUUGAGGUAGGCGGAAUGUGUAAUGUAGCGGUGAAAUGCUUAGAUAUUACACAGAACACCAAUUGCGUAGGCAGCUUACUAGACCGACACUGACGCUGAGGCACGAAAGCGUGGGUAGCGAACAGGAUUAGAUACCCUGGUAGUC